GGCCUCGUGGUCUAGUGGUAUGAUUCUCGCUUCGGGUGCGAGAGGUCCCGGGGGAUUCCCGGUGAGGCCC
rnacentral:tRNA from 1 species